rnacentral:lncRNA from 1 species
CCGUACUCCUCCCCGUGCCCCUCCCCGUGCCCCUCCCCGUGCUCCCCCGGGGCUCCUCCCCGCGCUCACCUCCGCUGGUGUGUCCCGUCUGGGCGUCCGUGUCUCCGCGCGAGGCGGGGAGGCGUCCCUAAGGUCCCCGGGGCGGGAGCCUCGCGGGGCGUCGCAGCCGCAGCCCACCCAGGGCGCCUCGCGGGCGUCGGGAGGCUUUUCCCGCCGCGGGAGCCUGAGCCGGGCGGGCGGCCGCGGGGGGAGACAGUUCGCUUAGGGGCCUUGUGUCUGCAGGAGCAAACUUGAAAAACGUCCUUGAGUGUUUGUGGAUAGAGAAGCAUGAAACAGACGUGCGCUCAGGGCAGGCUGGAGGGGAGGGCAGGGCCCCUGGGGUCGGGGCGGGGGGGGGGGGAGGGCGGGGGGGGGAGGAGGGCAUGGGGGGGCCGCGGGGGCUCCCCUCCCGAACUCCUGGGUUGUGUUUCCUGCCGUGAGGCAGCAGCACCCGGGACAGUGGGGCGACGGGCGGGGGCGGGGGGGCGCGGAGCGCGCUGGGCGGCGGGCCUGGGGCGGGGCGGGGAGCGCGGCGGGGGCGGGGGCGGGGGCGGGGCCCGGGCCCCGCCGACACCCCGACCUCCAAGUGCCGCCGCCCCAGGGGCCGCCCCGCAGCUCCGCACCCCCGCACGGCUCCGCAUCGCCCCCCCGCCCGGCUCUGCACCCCCGCCCGCCGCAGCUCCGCACCCCCCUACCCCGGCUCCGGUGCCCGCCACGGCCCGGCUCCGCACACCGCCCCCCCUCACCCCCUCACCCCUGCUCCGCUCCCUCACCCCCCUCCCGCUCGGCUCCCCCUGUCUGGUGCACCGGCUGCCCCGCCCCGCUCCCUCAUCCCCGCCCCCCCCCACACCCGCCCCCCUCUCCCUCACCCCCUCACCCCUGCUCCGCUCCCUCCGUCCCCCCGCCCCCCCUCCUCCCCCCCGACCGGGCCGCGCAGCCGCCGGGCCGUGGCUGCUGGAGGCGCCGCCCGCAGGUGGGCGGCCGCGCGUGUCCGUGGCCCCCCGUCCCCCCUGGCGGCAGACCCCGGAGCCCGGAGCCCGGAGCCCAGCCGCCCCGCCAGGCCCCCGCGCCCGCCGCCGGAGCCCCAGGGAAGCACCGGCUCUGCGCCCCCGGAGCCCGCGGACUCGGGUAACAGAAAACCACUACAGGUGA